AUUGAACGCUGGCGGCAGGCCUAACACAUGCAAGUCGAACGAGUGGCGGACGGGUGAGUAAUGUCUGGGAAACUGCCUGAUGGAGGGGGAUAACUACUGGAAACGGUAGCUAAUACCGCAUACCAUCAGAUGUGCCCAGAUGGGAUUAGCUAGUUGGUGGGGUAACGGCUCACCAGGGCAACGAUCCCUCGCUGGUUGGAGAGGAUGACCAGCAAAACUGGAACGUAGACACGGCCCAGAAUCCAACGGAAGGCAGAAGUGGGGAAUAUUGCACAAGGGGCGCAAGCCGGAUGCAGCAAUGCCGCGUGUAGGAAGAAGGCCUUCGGGUUGUAAAGUACUUUCAGCGGGGAGGCGUUACCCGCAGAAGAAGCACCGGCUAACUCCGUGCCAGCCGCCGCGGUAAUAC
rnacentral:rRNA from 1 species